UACGUAGGGGGCAAGCGUUAUCCGGAAUUACUGGGUGUAAAGGGUGAGUAGGCGGCAUGGUAAGCCAGAUGUGAAAGCCUUGGGCUUAACCCGAGGAUUGCAUUUGGAACUAUCAAGCUAGAGUACAGGAGAGGAAAGCGGAAUUCCUAGUGUAGCGGUGAAAUGCGUAGAUAUUAGGAAGAACACCAGUGGCGAAGGCGGCUUUCUGGACUGAAACUGGCGCUGAGGCACGAAAGCGUGGGGAGCGAACAGG
rnacentral:rRNA from 1 species